GAUGAACGCUGGCGGCGUGCCUAAUACAUGCAAGUCGAGCGAACGGACGAGAAGCUUGCUUCUCUGAUGUUAGCGGCGGACGGGUGAGUAACACGUGGAUAACCUACCUAUAAGACUGGGAUAACUUCGGGAAACCGGAGCUAAUACCGGAUAAUAUUUUGAACCGCAUGGUUCAAAAGUGAAAGACGGUCUUGCUGUCACUUAUAGAUGGAUCCGCGCUGCAUUAGCUAGUUGGUAAGGUAACGGCUUACCAAGGCAACGAUGCAUAGCCGACCUGAGAGGGUGAUCGGCCACACUGGAAAUGAAACACGGUCCAGACUCCUACGGGAGGCAGCAGUAGGGAAUCUUCCGCAAUGGGCGAAAGCCUGACGGAGCAACGCCGCGUGAGUGAUGAAGGUCUUCGGAUCGUAAAACUCUGUUAUUAGGGAAGAACAUAUGUGUAAGUAACUGUGCACAUCUUGACGGUACCUAAUCAGAAAGCCACGGCUAACUACGUG
rnacentral:rRNA from 1 species